GCAUGCGUUACUAUGGCAACGGACAUGGUAUUUUUUUAAAUUUUCAUUGUUUUUUGGUGUAAUAUGUCAUGUUUGCUAAAAAUUGAAGAGAACAGUCAAGAAGGGUCUGCAAACUCUCUGUUCAGCGGCUGUUGCUUCAAAACAAUGCAUUGUCUAGCGCAUUGUGGUUUCUUGAAAAGCGAGCUCACCCAACAGCAAGUUGAAAUAUUUUCUGGUGAUGUUAUAAAAGCGUUCUAGUUAGUCAAAUGAUUAAUAAAAGAAAGAGAAGUGUCUAUCGUAAAAGACUUGGCUGUGUUGGUCUGUAAAAGCAAGCGUCUGAGGACAAUCAAUCGUCCUUGGGUGAUCAAGAUGUUGAUAGUGAUUCUGAUUCACAGAGGUCUGACUUGGGUGACACGCUUGCCGAUAAAGGUGCAACUACACCUCAAUUAGAAGGAACUCCAACACUCAUUAAUGCAUUAAGAUGGAAAUUGAGUCAGCAUAGCUGCCUUGGUACCCCCAAAAGAUGCUAUAGAAGAAAGAAUUGCCGACCAAACAUCUGCAUACAGUGAUACACUGAUACAGACUUGUUGACAUUCAACAGCUGUCAUCUGCUGUCUUUGAUAUUCAUAAAUGUCGAAAAGGUAGGCUUCAUGAUUUUGUUUCUAACUUGUAAAAUACUUUUGGUAAAAUUUGAAACAAUCUCUUAGUUGUAGAAUGCAGUUUUACUACAAAUUUCUGCUUGCCCAGUGGACCAAUAAAUACCACUACAUACUGUCAUCAUGUCAUGUGUGUGUACUGCCCAAAUAUUAUGCUAUUAUAUCUCACUAGAAAUUUUUCAAAACUUUCACAUAGGAAACCUGUUACUUGAAGAAGGAAGGAAACAGGGGUUUAGGUCAAGCCUGAACAUGGAAUGUGUUUCGUGUAAAAAUGUUGAGGUCUUAGAUACAUCUGAUAGUGUAUCGCGAAGGGGGUGAUCUUAUGAUGUAAAUCAACGGAUGGUUUACAGUUCAAUCGAAAUUGGUUGUUGGCUAUGAAGGAUUGGUUACACUAUCCAGCAUUUUGUGGAGCUGCCAGUACACUGCAUAUAAUGAAAAAGCUGUUAAUUCCAGGUGGGGAAUAUACAAGCAAACGUUCGGCUUCAAAGGAUAGAAAACGUGUGAGCAUGCUGAUGUGCGAGCAACUGAAAAAGAGAAAAAGUGACGUCAAGGGGAGAAAAUUAUUUGUGUAAGAAGGGAAGAAGCUUUAAGAAAGACAGAUGUUACCACAUAUCAAGCUGGUGCCUUUUAAGUACAUCCAGAAAGACUUUGGUCAUGGAUUUGAGUACAUUAGACAUUAAUUCAUAGACAUCACAAAUAACCGAAACUUUAAAUGCCGUUUUCUCAAAAUCACCUAUUUCGCAGGUUGAAAAAGGAUAUCUCUAGAACAAUUUGACCAAUUGAUCUGAAAUUUUCAGGAUUUAUGCAUCUUACUAUGUUGUUGGGGAUGAGUUGAGGAUUUUUUCAUAUUUAGUUUUUAACCAGAGUUAUUGCAUAAAAAUACCUAGUAUAUUUAUGCGCUAACUUUAACCCUUUGUUUCUAGUGAAAUAUUUAAAAUUUUCAAAAAUCCUCAACUCAUCCCCACAAUCACUAAGUGCUAUGUCUAUUAUUAAAAAAUGGGGUGAUUUGAAUUUGCCCCUGGCAAGAUAUUUUUUUUCAACUUCAGUCUGUCGAAAAACAGCAUGUAGCCACUUUAACCACCUGGUUGCCAAUGGCAACGCAUUGUAGCCACCUUAAAUAUAUUUUUUUAGAAUCUUCAUUCCAUUAGCUUUCUCCUGAUAUAUAGUUUGCCAUAAGGUUUUUAAAAAGUAUUGCCACAACAGACCCUUUAAAGAUAGCUAGUAGCGAUUCUCAAGUUUGGGUAGACCCUCCCCUUAACAGUAGUUACUAUCCGAG
rnacentral:lncRNA from 1 species